rnacentral:rRNA from 1 species
UCGGGUGACGAGUGGCGGACGGGUGAGUAAUGUCUGGGAAACUGCCUGAUGGAGGGGGAUAACUACUGGAAACGGUAGCUAAUACCGCAUAACGUCGCAAGACCAAAGAGGGGGACCUUCGGGCCUCUUGCCAUCAGAUGUGCCCAGAUGGGAUUAGCUGGUAGGCGGGGUAAUGGCCCACCUAGGCGACGAUCCCUAGCUGGUCUGAGAGGAUGACCAGCCACACUGGAACUGAGACACGGUCCAGACUCCUACGGGAGGCAGCAGUGGGGAAUAUUGCACAAUGGGCGCAAGCCUGAUGCAGCCAUGCCGCGUGUGUGAAGAAGGCCUUCGGGUUGUAAAGCACUUUCAGCGGGGAGGAAGGCGGUACGGUUAAUAACCGUGCUGAUUGACGUUACCCGCAGAAGAAGCACCGGCUAACUCCGUGCCAGCAGCCGCGGUAAUACGGAGGGUGCAAGCGUUAAUCGGAAUUACUGGGCGUAAAGCGCACGCAGGCGGUCUGUCAAGUCGGAUGUGAAAUCCCCGGGCUCAACCUGGGAACUGCAUUCGAAACUGGCAGGCUGGAGUCUCGUAGAGGGAGGUAGAAUUCCAGGUGUAGCGGUGAAAUGCGUAGAGAUCUGGAGGAAUAC